AGGACUAGAAUGAGCACUCCUCUUUUAAUCAAAGAUUUGCAGCACCUCAAUUAAAAAGGUUCCUUCUCUGAUUUAUAUACAUACCCUUCAUUUUAUAUCUAGGAAGCACCUCCAUCCAUGGAACAAAAUUAUCUUUGGAUUUUAGGAAUGAUAAUUCUUUGUGUUUUCCUGCUAUAGUAUGAUUUACAACUCGACUCAACUCAACUAAGCCUUUAU
rnacentral:misc_RNA from 1 species